ACCAGUGGUGCAGUGAGUCAGUGCGUGUGGCUGUCAACCAGAAGGUUGGUGGUUCGAGCCCAUUCAGGGAUG